rnacentral:rRNA from 1 species
GAGUUUGAUCCUGGCUCAGGAUGAACGCUAGCGGCAGGCUUAACACAUGCAAGUCGAGGGGUAAGGCUUUCUUCGGAAGGCACACGACCGGCGAACGGGUGCGUAACGCGUAUGCAACUUACCUGUAACUGAGACAUAGCCCCGAGAAAUCGGGAUUAAUAACUCAUAUUAUCCCGAAGGCUCAUGCCUUUGGGAUGAAAGCUCCGGCGGUUACAGAUGGGCAUGCGUGACAUUAGCUCGUUGGUGUGGUAACGGCACACCAAGGCUACGAUGUCUAGGGGGUCUGAGAGGAUGAUCCCCCACACUGGUACUGAGACACGGACCAGACUCCUACGGGAGGCAGCAGUGAGGAAUAUUGCGCAAUGGAGGAAACUCUGACGCAGCCAUGCCGCGUGCAGGAUGACAGCCCUACGGGUUGUAAACUGCUUUUCUGCGGGAAGAACCUUCCGUACGUGUACGGAAUUGACGGUACUGCAGGAAUAAGCAUCGGCUAACUCCGUGCCAGCAGCCGCGGUAAUACGGAGGAUGCAAGCGUUAUCCGGAUUCAUUGGGUUUAAAGGGUGCGCAGGCGGACCUGUUAGUCAGAGGUGAAAGCCUCCCGCUUAACGGGAGAAUGGCCUUUGAUACUGCAGGUCUUGAGUCUAGUUGAGGUAGGCGGAAUGUAGUAUGUAGCGGUGAAAUGCUUAGAUAUACUACAGAACACCCAUGGUGAAGACAGCUUACCAAACUAGCACUGACGCUCAGGCACGAAAGCGUGGGGAGCAAACAGGAUUAGAUACCCUGGUAGUCCACGCCGUAAACGUUGAUCACUCGUUGUUGGCAAUACACCGUCAGCGACUAAGCAAAAGCAUUAAGUGAUCCACCUGGGGAGUACGAUCGCAAGGUUGAAACUCAAAGGAAUUGACGGGGGCCCGCACAAGCGGAGGAGCAUGUGGUUUAAUUCGAUGAUACGCGAGGAACCUUACCCGGGCUUAAAUGUAGCGUGCAUUGGUGUGAAAACACCAUUUCCCUCGGGACCCGCUACAAGGUGCUGCAUGGUUGUCGUCAGCUCGUGCCGUGAGGUGUCGGGUUAAGUCCCAUAACGAGCGCAACCCCUAUCUUUAGUUGCUAACAGG